UCGAGCGAACAGACGAGGAGCUUGCUCCUCUGACGUUAGCGGCGGACGGGUGAGUAACACGUGGAUAACCUACCUAUAAGACUGGGAUAACUUCGGGAAACCGGAGCUAAUACCGGAUAAUAUAUUGAACCGCAUGGUUCAAUAGUGAAAGACGGUUUUGCUGUCACUUAUAGAUGGAUCCGCGCCGCAUUAGCUAGUUGGUAAGGUAACGGCUUACCAAGGCAACGAUGCGUAGCCGACCUGAGAGGGUGAUCGGCCACACUGGAACUGAGACACGGUCCAGACUCCUACGGGAGGCAGCAGUAGGGAAUCUUCCGCAAUGGGCGAAAGCCUGACGGAGCAACGCCGCGUGAGUGAUGAAGGUCUUCGGAUCGUAAAACUCUGUUAUUAGGGAAGAACAAAUGUGUAAGUAACUAUGCACGUCUUGACGGUACCUAAUCAGAAAGCCACGGCUAACUACGUGCCAGCAGCCGCGGUAAUACGUAGGUGGCAAGCGUUAUCCGGAAUUAUUGGGCGUAAAGCGCGCGUAGGCGGUUUUUUAAGUCUGAUGUGAAAGCCCACGGCUCAACCGUGGAGGGUCAUUGGAAACUGGAAAACUUGAGUGCAGAAGAGGAAAGUGGAAUUCCAUGUGUAGCGGUGAAAUGCGCAGAGAUAUGGAGGAACACCAGUGGCGAAGCGACUUUCUGGUCUG
rnacentral:rRNA from 1 species